GCACACUCCCACCACAUGCUUUUGUGCCUAUCUUUUUCAUUCCUGUCACUUCUGAGGACUGUAUUACAUUCCAAAGUAAAAGAAAUCUCUGGAGCACUGCUCAAGAAGGGGCUCCUUGAAAAUUGGUUCUCCAGCAUUCAUUUCACUCUGCACAGCUAUCUAGAUUCACAGCUAAGAAUUUGCCUGGGGUCUCACAAGAAACUUCAAAUUUGAAAAUUGUUAGAACUGUUGAGACUUUCUGAGAGGAACUUUACCACUUUGUGUACAGAAGAACUGUAGUAUGUUAGUUAAAUUUAUGAACUUGAUUUUGUCUGUAUUUGGAGAUUACAUUUUAGUUAAAGAGAUGUAUUUGCUGUGAAGUUGUAAAGGCAGAUCAUUAACCCAAUAUGUCAACUUCACUGGAUUAUGAUUUCAUAAUAGUUUACAUUUUCAGAAAAUUAGUAAGGCAAGAUCCUAUGUGUGUGUGUCUGUUCAGGUCACAGAGGUGUGAGCUUAGAUAUGACAUAUGUGCCUAACCUACUCUUCCCUGCUGCUAUUGCCCUGCUUAGCUUUUUGGCAACCAUGGUGUAAGCAGUUCUGACUUUCCUUACCUUCUGCCAUGAGAUUUUUCUGCCUUGGUGCAGACUGACCAUGUACUGAAUGUUCUGAAAUGUGAGUUCCAUUAAAUAUUUCUACUUUUAAUUUGUGGGCGUCAGGUAUUGUAUCCCUGCUAUGAGAAACUGAUUAACACAUGUAUCUUACUCUAAGUACUUGUCUAAUUGAUGAGAUUCAUCUAGCAUCAAUGUGAUCAGAGACA